AAAGGAACACUGAGAGCAAUGGG
rnacentral:piRNA from 1 species